rfam:Peniophora sp. CONT PENSPscaffold_6_Cont11, whole genome shotgun sequence.
GGGCAUAUGGUGUAGUUGGUUUAUCACGCCCGCUUAGCAUGCGGGAGGUGUCCGGUUCAAUUCCGGAUAUGUCCA